rnacentral:rRNA from 1 species
UACGGGGGGGGCAAGCGUUGUUCGGAAUUACUGGGCGUAAAGGGCUCGUAGGUGGCCAACUAAGUCAGACGUGAAAUCCCUCGGCUUAACCGGGGAACUGCGGCUGAUACUGGAUGGCUUGAGUUCGGGAGAGGGAUGCGGAAUUCCAGGUGUAGCGGUGAAAUGCGCAGAUAUCAGGAGGAACACCGGUGGCGAAGGCGGUUCUCUGGGCAUGUCCUGACGCUGAGGAGCGAAAGUGUGGGGAGCGAACAGG